AACGAACGCUGGCGGCAUGCCUAACACAUGCAAGUCGAACGAUGCCUUCGGGCAUAGUGGCGCACGGGUACGUAACGCGUGGGAAUCUGCCUUUCGGUUCGGAAUAACUCAGGGAAACUUGAGCUAAUACCGGAUAACGUCGCAAGACCAAAGAUUUAUCACCGAAAGAUGAGCCCGCGUAGGAUUAGCUAGUUGGUGAGGUAAAGGCUCACCAAGGCGACGAUCCUUAGCUGGUCUGAGAGGAUGAUCAGCCACACUGGGACUGAGACACGGCCCAGACUCCUACGGGAGGCAGCAGUGGGGAAUAUUGGACAAUGGGCGAAAGCCUGAUCCAGCAAUGCCGCGUGAGUGAUGAAGGCCUUAGGGUUGUAAAGCUCUUUUACCCGGGAAGAUAAUGACGGUACCGGGAGAAUAAGCCCCGGCUAACUCCGUG
rnacentral:rRNA from 1 species